UAAUACUAAUAUGCGGAUAUGCAAAUGAACUCUAUUCUCCUCAACAACAAAGGCCCAACACAAUGCUCCAGCAGAUCCCUGGGUCAAAAUCGUAUAGCGGUUCAAACGACACCGCCCGAUCUUGGAGAAGAUUACCAGCCAAAACCGCUCGGCUGAUUUUCCUAAUUCUUUUUUCCACGUCGUCCUUGAUCCUCAAACUUGUGCUCGUGGGGUUUCUUUUUUCGUUUUUCCUCCCUUUUUUAUAGAUAUUUGUACGUUUUCUCCCGGGUUCGUUCGAAAUCCUCUCGAUCUCGAUUAGUGCUCUCCGAGGUCUUUGUCCCGCCUUUCUAAAGGUCCUUUCUCUCUUUUCUCUUGCUCUCUACUACAAAAGAUUUCAAAACUUCUUCCUCCAGCAACCCUUCAAUUUGAACGGAGGCUUUUCAAAUCCGUUUUUGCUUUCCACAAAGAAGCUACUGUUUGCCGAUAAUUUCGGUGAUUUGGAGGAUAAAUCUUCGUGCACUGCUGCUUGGCAUUCCUUUUCGAACUCGAAGCGGUUGUCGACGGUCGUGUUCUGUGCUACAGUGCUACAGUACUACGGUGCUACAGUACUACGGUGCUACAGCGCUACAGUGCUACAGUGCUACAGUGCUACAGCUACAGUAGCUACGUACGGUACACCCGCUGCUGCCCGUUUUUUGGUUCUGCGAUGACUGCUGGCUGAUCCCCUUCUUCACUGGCAUCAGAAUCGAUGGCAUGCGAAUACAAAUAAACGAUCGGAUUCGCUGACUUUUUGGUUCAACAAAUCAAAGAGCGUUUCAAGCAAUAAUUACGACGCAGACGUGUUUCUCGAACCUUCGAAACGAAAUUUAUGGCAUUUAUGCUGGCGUUAAAUCAAACGAUGAAACAAGAAAAAACUUGACUGUGGAGAAAAGGACUAAAGUUAUAUAAUAUAGAUUAGCUGUUGUCCGUAAAUUGUAUUUUGUUUAUUUGUUGUUAGAGUAAGAUUCCUUUCUGAUGCACGAAACUUGGCUGUUUUUUAUCUUUCUAUCUCUUAACUGCUUUGUUCCUGCAGUGUUUCAAAAGCUAAUUGUGACGAAGAUGUGACAUGUGGACCUCAAAUGUACAGAACUGCGUAAUAACUCUAUAACUCUUUGGAGUUCAGAAGAGGAGUCAUUAAUUCUUAAGAAAUUUUUAGAUGAUAUAUAUCUAAACGAGCACCAUGGACCAAUAACGGCUAACAGGAAUUUAUUGUUGGAAAACUUUAAUGUUUGAUUCAAAAUAAACAGAGGAAGUUUAAAGGUGGCCCCAAAUUAUACCUUAAAACAGCAUCACAAGUGAACAAGAAUUGAACGAAAUGGUCUGAUAAAGAUAUUCAUGUUGGAUUCAAAAUGAACAUUACAGCUUUAAGAAUGGCCUUAGAAAAUAUUUUCAAGCGCCCUAUAAGUCGACGAGGGCUAAGAAUGUAUGAUUGGAAAACUCAAAAAUUUGAUUCUGACUAAAUAGGAGAAAUUAUAGGAUUAACUCAUGAAAAUGAUGGGGGCUGGCAGAAGUAUGUAGCUGUCAAGUUUAAAGUAGAAUUCAGAAUAUUUAACAAAGCUUUUAGAUAAGCCUGCAAGAUAUUUAAACGACCACCACGAUACACCGAGAGAUAAAAGAAGAUGCAAACUUUAAAACAUUGCAAUUAGAAUAAGCAGUAGAAAUAAAGAGGGUAACCCGUGAAAGUAUUUAAACGAGGACCCCAAUUAGAUCGUGGCUUACAAAAUGUAUUGAAGCAACUUUCUGUAUUGCCUUGAUAUUGCAACCGUUUAUGUAUCAAAUUGAUAUGCACAUUUUAAUAAACGGAAGAGUAGCUCCCAGUAAAUCCCGCUCUGCGGGCACCCUAUGGCCCCAAAAUGGGAUAGUAAGAUUAGCCUCUGAAAGUCAAGAGUGCUACUAACCUUGAUUUCAAAGGGGUUCAGAUGGUGAUGAAAGCUAUGAUAUUGCUAAUUGGUAAUCGUAAUAAUCGAGGAACUACUCAUUGGGUUGAUUCUAUUAGGAAUUUCGCAAGUAUCGGUAUCUGGAGCCAGCAAGUAAUUAAGUUUGGGUUUACUUUUCUAAAAGGAUUUACUGAAAUACAAUCAGGGUAAUAAAGCAUUAUCUUCCUACACGAAAGAAGCUCUUAUCUCAAUAGGGUUGUUGCUGUGAGUAAAUAAUACUUUGUCCUCGAGCAAUUCUUUCCUGCUCUUGCCAAUAGUAUAUGCUACUCACAGUAGGCGUGACUAUGGAUUGGAUUAAUUAUGUUUUUAUUUUGUCAUGUUUAGAAUGUGCUUGCCUGCUUGCUGUAUGAUAUUACACUUUUUGCUUGCAUUCCUUAUUAAAUUGGAAGAAUGUAGGAGGCAUUGUUUUUUUAUUCUCAUUUUCAGGAUAGAUUCAAUUUUAAUUUUAUUUGUCAGAGGAGUAAACAGAUAAGUAAAGUUGGGAAGUCUUACCAUGAAAUUUUAUGGAAAAUUAAAACACGAGACUUAGGGGGUAACCCAUCAAAAUAUCUAAACGAGGAACACGAAUAGACCUGGGCUGCAAAUGUUUUGAAGCAACUUUCAAUUAACGGAAGACUAGCUCCCCUACGAAGCCCGCUACGCGGGCUUGCCAGUGACCCUACGGUAGAGUACAUAGAUUAGCCUCGGAAAAGACAAGAAUUUUCUUAAAACCCCCUGUGAAUGAUAAUAAAAUUAGCCUCGGUAAAGACAAGAAUUCUUUCGAAGCCCCCAAUGAGUAUGCAGAUUAGCCUCGGAAAAGACAAGAGGUGUAUCAAACUCGAUUUGAAAAAAAUUGGCUCCGCACAGGUCACGUGAUAAAAAAAUUACUCGCACUCCUGUGACUAUCGCUAGGAAGGGGGGAGCCUCUACCCCUUCUCUAUUUCAGGCGACCCCCUGACUAGCGAUAGUCACAGGAGUGCGAGUAAUUUUUUUAUCACGUGACCUGUGCGGAGCCAAUUUUUUUCAAAUCGAGUUUGAUACACCUCUUGUCUUUUCCGAGGCUAAUCUGCAUACUCAUUGGGGGCUUCGAAAGAAUUCUUGUCUUUACCGAGGCUAAUUUUAUUAUCAUUCACAGGGGGUUUUAAGAAAAUUCUUGUCUUUUCCGAGGCUAAUCUAUGUACUCUACCGUAGGGUCACUGGCAAGCCCGCGUAGCGGGCUUCGUAGGGGAGCUAUCUCUACAAAUAAUACUAAUGUGCUCAUAUGCAAAUGAGCUCGCUCCGUUGAUAUCGGUCCGAUUACAUCUGAUAUCGGUCCGUUCCCAUCGAAAGUUCUUGCACGAACUCCGCAAAAACUGCUACACCCCUUGAACUGAGCUUCGGUAGUUCGGUUCCUCUGGGGUUGCGAUUGUGUGGAAAGGUCUCGAAUCUUCGUUUGCUCGCUUCCCUCGCUCCGAAUUUGCGACGUGUCUUCUCUCAAUGGGCCUUGCUCAACGAGGCCAUUUUCUUUGCUAACGCUUCGCUCUCUUUGUUUGUCUUUUCAAAGACUUUUUCUAGCGCUUUCCUGGAUGUUUUGAAAACGUCGAUUGUCAUCCAGUCAGUAGUUGUUGAUUGAAAACCUUGACCUUUGAUUCUAAAGCGAAUAUCCCUUUUCAUCCCCAACUUUUCUGAGAGAGAUCGAGUACCUUUUCAAAGGAUUUUUCAAAACAUUUCCUCCCUCUCUUUGAUGGGUUAAAUACUGGCUUUCGCGUUCGCGUUUCUAAAGGUUCUUUCUCUCUCUUUUCUCUUGCUCUCUACAAAAGGUUUCAAAACUUCUUCCUCCAGCAACCCUUCAAAUUGAACGAAGGCUUUUCAAAUUCGUUUUGCUUUCCACAAAGAAGCUACUGUGUGCCGAUAAUUUCGGUGAUUUGGAAUUGGAUAAAUCUACGUGCACUGCAGCUUGGCAUUCCUUUUCGAACUCGAAGCGGUUGUUGACGGUCGUGUUCUGUGCUACAGUGCUACAGCUACAGCUACAGUAGCUACGUUCACCCGCUGCUGCCCGUUUUUUGGUUUGCGAUGGCUGCUGGCUGUUCCCCUUCUUUACUGGUAUCAGAAUCGAUGGCA